GGUCCUGAAGCUCUGACGGUGGAGCGGCCGGUUGAAGCCCGGCAGGAGCAGGUUCGAGCACUGCCGGGACCACCA
rnacentral:tRNA from 1 species